AGAUUGAACGCUGGCGGCAUGCCUUACACAUGCAAGUCGAACGGCAGCACGGGAGCAAUCCUGGUGGCGAGUGGCGAACGGGUGAGUAAUAUAUCGGAACGUGCCCAGUCGUGGGGGAUAACGUAGAGAAAUUUACGCUAAUACCGCAUACGAUCCAAGGAUGAAAGCGGGGGACCUAAGGCCUCGCGCGACUGGAGCGGCUGAUAUCAGAUUAGCUUGUUGGUGAGGUAAAAGCUACACCAAGGCGACGAUCUGUAGCUGGUUUGAGAGAACGACCAGCCACGACUGGACUGAGACACGGACCCAGACUCCGUACGGGAGGCAGCAGUGGGAAUUUUGGACAAGUGGGCGAAAGCCU
rnacentral:rRNA from 1 species